CGAAAGCCUGACGGAGCAAGACCGCGUGAGGGAGGAAGGCCCUUGGGUUGUAAACCUCUUUUCUCAGGGAAGAAAACUGACGGUACCUGAGGAAUAGGCCUCGGCUAACUCCGUGCCAGCAGCCGCGGUAAUACGGAGGAGGCAAGCGUUAUCCGGAAUUAUUGGGCGUAAAGCGUCCGCAGGUGGCUAGUCAAGUCUGCUGUCAAAGACCAGGGCUUAACCCUGGGCCGGCAGUGGAAACUGGUUAGCUGGAGUACGGUAGGGGUAGAGGGAAUUCCUGGUGUAGCGGUGAAAUGCGUAGAUAUCAGGAAGAACACCGGUGGCGAAAGCGCUCUACUGGGCCGUGACUGACACUGAGGGACGAAAGCUAGGGGAGCG
rnacentral:rRNA from 1 species